rnacentral:rRNA from 1 species
UACAGAGGGUGCAAGCGUUGUUCGGAAUUAUUGGGCGUAAAGCGCGUGUAGGCGGCUUGUUAAGUCGGGUGUGAAAGCCCUCGGCUCAACCGAGGAAGUGCGCCCGAAACUGCAGAGCUUGAGUACCGGAGAGGAUGGCGGAAUUCCCCAAGUAGAGGUGAAAUUCGUAGAUAUGGGGAGGAACACCGGUGGCGAAGGCGGCCAUCUGGACGGAUACUGACGCUGAGACGCGAAAGCGUGGGGAGCAAACAGG